UCAGGGAUCCCCCGCCCGCCCCUCGGCCUCCCAAGCCCGUCGCCCUCCCCCGGGGCCGGAAGCCCCCCAGCCAGCCCGAGAGGAGCCGCAGCAACGAGGAAGCAAGUGGCCCAGGAGGAGGGGGAGCCCCGGAGGAAACACGGGACCCUGAGGUGGGAAGGAAGGCGGCCCCCCUCAAACCAAAGAGGACGCGCCGGGCGCAGUCGUGUGACAAGCUGGAGUCAGAUCGGGGCCGAAACCCAGGCACUGGAGGUGCCAGCGACACACCCCUGCCUGACCCCCCUCCCGCCCCCCCUGAAUGCGGCCUGCACAGCUGGAAAUCCCGCCCCACUGCUUCCCACCCUCUCCUUACUCCGGACCGGACCGCGGGAACUCCCGAAUCUGGGACAGAAUGAUGGACAGGAGAUCCCUCGACGUUCCCGCCGCCACCGGAAGCUGCGAUGCCCUUUCAUCUCCUGGUGGAACGAGCGAAGAAACGUGAGAGAGGGGAGCAGAGGCAUGGGGAGUCCCCGCUGCCCUCAGCUCUCCCCCCUCCCUCAGAAGAGGGGCUGACCUCCUGCCCUAGAGAAACUGUCCGUCGGGACCCGCCGGGUCUCCAGUGCUGCUGACCCCCGACCCCACCCACUCUUCCUCCUUCCCCCCCCUCCUCCGUUUGUGCCUGUAUCCUUCCCUCGCUUCUGGGUCGGAGCCACCCCCCCGACCCUCGUGCCCCAGAGGGACUAGGGACACCGCCCCCACCCCUUUUGAAAUUCGGGGGGGGGGGGUGAGAGAGAAAAAAGCCACAAUGAACCACCCCUCCACCUCCUGCUCCCUUUCGCCCAUAAUAUUUGGGGUGUUGUCGAGACUCGGGUCAAAUAUGCACCAUUCUCCC